rnacentral:rRNA from 1 species
GAUGAACGCUGGCGGCGUGCCUAAUACAUGCAAGUCGAGCGAACAGAUAAGGAGCUUGCUCCUUUGACGUUAGCGGCGGACGGGUGAGUAACACGUGGGUAACCUACCUAUAAGACUGGAAUAACUCCGGGAAACCGGGGCUAAUGCCGGAUAACAUUUAGAACCGCAUGGUUCUAAAGUGAAAGAUGGUUUUGCUAUCACUUAUAGAUGGACCCGCGCCGUAUUAGCUAGUUGGUAAGGUAACGGCUUACCAAGGCAACGAUACGUAGCCGACCUGAGAGGGUGAUCGGCCACACUGGAACUGAGACACGGUCCAGACUCCUACGGGAGGCAGCAGAAGGGAAUCUUCCGCAAUGGGCGAAAGCCUGACGGAGCAACGCCGCGUGAGUGAUGAAGGUCUUCGGAUCGUAAAACUCUGUUAUUAGGGAAGAACAAAUGUGUAAGUAACUGUGCACGUCUUGACGGUACCUAAUCAGAAAGCCACGGCUAACUACGUG